rnacentral:rRNA from 1 species
CCUACGGGCGGCAGCAGUGAGGAAUAUUGGUCAAUGGGCGCGAGCCUGAUCCAGCCAAGUAGCGUGAAGGAUGACUGCCCUACGGGUUGUAAACUUCUUUUAUAAAGGAAUAAAGUGAGGCACGUGUGCCUUUUUGUAUGUACUUUAUGAAUACGGAUCGGCUAACUCCGUGCCAGCAGCCGCGGUAAUACGGAGGAUCCGAGCGUUAUCCGGAUUUAUUGGGUUUAAAGGGGGCGUAGAUGGGUUGUUAAGUCAGUUGUGAAAGUUUGCGGCGCAACCGUAAAAUUGCAAUUGAUACUGGCAGUCUUGAGUACAGUUGAGGUAGGCGGAAUGCGUGGUGUAGCGGUGAAAUGCUUAGAUAUCACGAAGAACCCCGAUUGCGAAGGCAGCUUACUAAUCUGUGACUGACAUUGAGGCUCGAAAGUGUGGGUAUCAAACAGGAUUAGAUACCCCUGUAGUC